rnacentral:tRNA from 1 species
GUGCAGGUCGCUUAAUGGCAAAGCCCUUGAUUGUGAAUCAAGAAGAUGCGGGUUCAAAUCCCGUUCUGCACCCCA